AGAGUUUGAUCAUGGCUCAGAACGAACGCUGGCGGCACGCCUAACACAUGCAAGUCGAGCGCUCACUUCGGUGGGAGCGGCGGACGGGUUAGUAACGCGUGGGAACAUACCCUUUUCUACGGAAUAGCCUCGGGAAACUGAGAGUAAUACCGUAUACGCCCUUCGGGGGAAAGAUUUAUCGGUUAAGGAUUGGCCCGCGUUAGAUUAGAUAGUUGGUGGGGUAACGGCCUACCAAGUCGACGAUCUAUAGCUGGUUUGAGAGGAUGAUCAGCAACACUGGGACUGAGACACGGCCCAGACUCCUACGGGAGGCAGCAGUGGGGAAUCUUAGACAAUGGGCGAAAGCCUGAUCUAGCGAUGCCGCGUGAGUGAAGAAGGCCUUAGGGUCGUAAAGCUCUUUCGCCAGGGAUGAUAAUGACA
rnacentral:rRNA from 1 species